AACGAACGCUGGCGGCAUGCCUAACACAUGCAAGUCGAACGAGACCUUCGGGUCUAGUGGCGCACGGGUGCGUAACGCGUGGGAACCUGCCCUUAGGUUCGGACUAACUCCCCGAAUGGGGUGCUAAUACCGGGUAAUGUCUUCGGACCAAAGAUUUAUCGCGUUUGGAUGGGCCCGAGUUGGAUUAGCUAGUUGGUAGGGUAAAAGCGUACCAAGGCGACGAUCGAUAGCUGGUCUGCGAGGCUCGUCAGCGACACUGGGGCUGAGACACGGCCCAGACUCCUACGGGAGGCAGCAGUGGGGAAUAUUGGACAGUGGGCGAAAGCCUGAUGCAGCAAGGCCGCGUGAGUGAUGAAGGCCGUAGGGUUGUAAAGCUCGUUUACCCGGGAUGAUAAUGACAGUACCGGGAGAAUAAGCUCCGGCUAACUCCGUG
rnacentral:rRNA from 1 species